UUGCUUCCUUCCCUAUGGGUGGGGUCUUUCUUGAGAGUGAUUCUUGAUCACCAAGCAUGUUUGCAUUUGUAUGUCAUUGUUUUUCUUUCUAUCACUAACCAAAAGUACAAAAAUAUGUCAUCUAACCUUUGUCUUGCAGAUGAAGCAUUAACAGGUCAAGGCAAUUAAAAGCAUUCAUUGAGCAAUAGAUGGUGGUCAUUCUUG
rnacentral:lncRNA from 1 species